rnacentral:rRNA from 1 species
GACGAACGCUGGCGGCGCGCUUAACACAUGCAAGUCGAACGGAAAGGCCCUGCUUUUGUGGGGUGCUCGAGUGGCGAACGGGUGAGUAACACGUGAGUAACCUGCCCUUGACUUUGGGAUAACUUCAGGAAACUGGGGCUAAUACCGGAUAGGAGCUCCUGCUGCAUGGUGGGGGUUGGAAAGUUUCGGCGGUUGGGGAUGGACUCGCGGCUUAUCAGCUUGUUGGUGGGGUAGUGGCUUACCAAGGCUUUGACGGGUAGCCGGCCUGAGAGGGUGACCGGCCACAUUGGGACUGAGAUACGGCCCAGACUCCCACGGGAGGCAGCAGUGGGGAAUAUUGCACAAUGGGCGGAAGCCUGAUGCAGCAACGCCGCGUGCGGGAUGACGGCCUUCGGGUUGUAAACCGCUUUCGCCUGUGACGAAGCGUGAGUGACGGUAAUGGGUAAAGAAGCACCGGCUAACUACGUG